rnacentral:rRNA from 1 species
UGGCUUUACCUGAAGACGGUGCGCUAACCAGCAAUGGAGGCAGCCAGCCACGGUAGGGUCAGCGACUGGGGUGAAGUCGUAACAAGGUAGCCGUAGGUGAACCUGCAGAAGGAUCA